ACAAACAAGAUAGAGUUGCCGUUUUCAGCUUGGGCAUUUCUGGGCACUAUUCUUUUUGGAGUUAUCUUGAUAUUCUAUGUUGACAGCAUUGCAGAAGAGAGAUUGCACAUGGUUUUCUCUUCUCCAAGGCACUUAAUGGUAGCUGGAGGAUGCAUUAUUAUCAUGGAGAUCAUCUAUAAAAUGGACUUUUCUCUACCGGGAUUCAUUAUUUGCUCGUUAAUUUUGGGAUUUGAUAUAUCAUAUGUCCAAUUGCUGUAGGCAUUUAUGCGGCAACCUCGUUGGAACGAAGUAAAAAGGGUUCUAUUCAGCAUUCAGAUCCUUCAAAUGGCAUGUUGGAAGAACAAUUAGAAACGUCCUCACUUCCAACUUGAAGUGUGCAAUGUUUCUUUCUCAAAGUUGUCGCAACUACAGAACACCAUGAGCAUCCCAGUCCAGUCAGUAAAUUGUUUCCAUUUUUAUAUGAUUAUCUCCAUUUCUGAGGCAAAUGAAGGAUUCAAUUGAAUAUCGGGGAAAACUGACAAGUCUAGUUGGCAUCUCUCACAUGCAUGAUCCUCAUUGAUGGCUGAUUGCUUUUUGUAUUGAAGUGUAUAUAGAUCCAG
rnacentral:misc_RNA from 1 species